UCGGGAAUCUUGCGCAAUGGGCGAAAGCCUGACGCAGCAACACCGUGUGGGUGACGAAGGCCUUCGGGUCGUAAAGCCCUGUUGUUGGGGACGAAGGGUUAGGGGUUAAUAGCCCCGAGCCUGACGGUACCCUUCGAGGAAGCCCCGGCUAACUACGUGCCAGCAGCCGCGGUAAUACGUAGGGGGCGAGCGUUGUCCGGAAUUAUUGGGCGUAAAGAGCGUGUAGGCGGUUCGGUAAGUCCGCCGUGAAAGCUUGGGGCUCAACCCCAAGUUUGCGGUGGAUACUGUCGGACUAGAGGGUGGUAGAGGCGAGUGGAAUUCCCGGUGUAGCGGUGAAAUGCGCAGAUAUCGGGAGGAACACCAGUAGCGAAGGCGGCUCGCUGGGCCAUACCUGACGCUGAGACGCGAAAGCGUGGGGAGCGAACAGGAUUAGAUACCCUGGUAGUCCACGCCGUAAACGAUGAACACUAGGUGUGGGCGGAGUCGAAUCUGUCCGUGCCGCAGCCAACGCGAUAA
rnacentral:rRNA from 1 species